CGCGUAGGUGGCUCGUUAAGUUGCCGGUGAAAUCCCGGGGCUCAACUCCGGGGCUGCCGGUAAGACUGGCGGGCUCGAGCACGGUAGAGGCAGAUGGAAUUCCCGGUGUAGCGGUGGAAUGCGUAGAGAUCGGGAAGAACACCAGUGGCGAAGGCGUUCUGCUGGGCCGUUGCUGACACUGAGGCGCGACAGCGUGGGGAAGCAAACA
rnacentral:rRNA from 1 species